GCCGCGUGGGUGAUGAAGGUUUUCGGAUCGUAAAGCCCUGUCGGAAGGGAAGAAAAACGGUAUGGCUAACAUCCAUACCGCUUGACGGUACCUUUAGAGGAAGCACCGGCUAACUACGUGCCAGCAGCCGCGGUAAUACGUAGGGUGCAAGCGUUGUUCGGAAUCAUUGGGCGUAAGGCGCGUGUAGGCGGUUAGUUAAGUCGAGUGUGAAAUCCCUGGGCUCAACCGAGGAAGUGCAUUCGAAACUAACUAGCUGGAAGAUGGUAGAGGAAGGUGGAAUUCCAAGUGUAGAGGUGAAAUUCGUAGAUAUUUGGAGGAAUACCGGUGGCGAAGGCGGCCUUCUGGGCCAUUCUUGACGCUGAGACGCGAAAGCGUGGGUAGCAAACAGGAUUAGAUACCCUGGUAGA
rnacentral:rRNA from 1 species